rnacentral:siRNA from 1 species
CAAGAGUUCAAGGUUAAUUUGGCC